GAGCCAUCUUGGAUGACGGGUCGAAACAACAAUUGUUUUACUAUGACUCCUUUCAGCUGCCCACCUCUCCUUUUCCUGUAAAAAAUAAAUAAAUAAACGGCUAAUACAAUUAUUGAGGUGGCGUUUUGAAAAGAGAUAACUUACAUUUUAUUAGUACAUGGUACAAAGAUGAUUAUGAGCCUUUGAUUGAUAUCCAGACUUUUUUUGCGGAGACACAUUCCUGUUACCAAUCCCCACUUGGAGUGAACGGAGAUAUCUACUUGGCCGCUGAGCACUGGUGGAUUGUGGAAGUUUGCACUGCUCCUGGGGACCUAGGGUGUGACCACGAGGGUUUGCUCACCUUCCUCUGGUGAAGAGGAACCAAGCGGCGAGCGAGUGAGGAGCGCCUUUGUUCUCUUUCCGCUGACUUUCGCAGACUUUCCACGGACCUUCACGGACGUUCAUGGACAGUCAUUCUCCUGGACGUCAGACCUUGUCGUCACGGUUGCGACGGAGUUUCUCCUACUUGGUAAAAAUGUUCUGGGAAGCAGUUGAGUUCGUCGGCUAUUACUUCACGACAAUAGUGGAGAUAGAUCGUUGGGGUAAAAUUGUCCCUGGAUCAUCACGGUUCCCUGAUGACAGAGAUCCUCCAGGUGGCGGGCGCAUGGGCAGGAUAUACUACAGGGGAGGGCCCGAUCCCCCACCAAUGGGAUGAGGAAGGUAAACGCCUACACAUCCAGUGUAGGCGAUGGGCGCAUGGCAUGUUAACAUGUCUGCAAUCAUGGUCAUUGGUUGCCUCUGCCGUUGGCAGAUUUUGAUGCCAUCCUGGGAAUUCCUACAUUGUAGGGGCCAGGCUGGCUGAUGUGGCAGCCGACUUCAGCUCUGCUCUAUCCGCUCACUUGCCUUCAUUCUUUCUGCUUCUCACCAUUUACUAACCCGGUUGUUCAUUUCAAACCAUGAAAUAUACAUUGAUGAUGAAGUUAUGAUGUUGAGUUAUGUAUACAUAUAAACAGCUAAAUUACUAUUUACAUCACAACUGUUUAUUUGAGAACUUUCAAUUUGACUUUCGUCCUCACCACAGCACUUAUACAGCGCUAGUUAAAGUUGUUAAUGACCUAAGAAUGAACAUGGGUGACAAGAAACUGUCAAUAUUAGUACUUUUAGACUUAAGUGCUGCUUUUGACACAGUCAAUCAUGACUACAGCAUUAUGUUGGCCUCUUCGGUUCAGUUUUAGACUGGUUUAGGACUUAUUUGUCCGGCAGAGACUAUUUUGUUUCCAUUGGUGACCAUUUCUUGGCUAACACUAGCAUAAGAUGUGGGGUUCCUCAAGGCUCCAUUUUGGGACCUGUCCUGUUUAAUCUGUAUAUACUACCACUGGGAAAUAUCAUCAGAGAACACAGGUUUCGUUUUCAUAGCAAUGCCGUAUACAUACAACUUUACAUAUCUUUAUCACCCAAUGACAUCAGCCCUAUCGAUAAACUGGUUGAAUGCAUUGAUCAUAUCGACCUGUGGAUGACAAGUUAUUUCCUACAAUUGAACAAAGAUAAGACAGAGGUCUUAAAUAUCGGGGCAAAGGACCAGAGAGAGAUACUGUGUACUAAUUUAAAAUCCCUGGUACAAAACGCCAAGCCCCUAGCAAACCUCUUAUGUAUGAUUGGUAACUGUGAUAUGCGUAGUAUUUUUUUAUGAUUGGUAUGAUUGUAGUCCCUGAUUUGAAUUUUAAAUCUCACAUUAGUAAUGUAACGAAAACCGCUUUCUAUCACCUUAGAAAUAUUGCUUAAGUGCAACCGCUUCUCUCCCAGGCAGAUACUAAGAGACUAAUGCAUGCUUUUAUUAGCAGGCUUGAUUAAUGUAAUGCACUCCUAUCUGGCCUUCCUCAAAAAGCUACAAAAAGAGGCCACAGAUCAUACAGAAUGCAGCAGCACGUGUACUAACCAAGACCAGAAUAAGAGCACACCUCUCACCUGUCUUAAAGUCCCUUCAUUGGUUGCCUGUCAGAUUUAGAAUAGAUUUUAAAAUCCAUUGUAGUGUACAAAACACUCAAUGGAUUAGCGCCCGAAUACCUACACACUACAGCACUACAUUAUUCUAGUGUAUUCCCCCUCUAGAUCCUUAGGGUCCUCUGGCACGGGCAUUUUAGUUGUUUCCCGGGUGAGGACAGGGACCUACGGGGAGGCGGCUUUAAGUGUCAAUGGUCCUCGCCUCUGGAACAGCCUCCCACAGGAGCUGAGGACUUCACAAUCUGUAACCACAUUCAGAAGUAACCCUAAGACAUACCUAUUUCGCUGAGCGAAAUAGGUCUGUGUAUCACCAAGUGAUAUAGAUAGAUACAUUUUGUGAUCUAUAAACAUAGAGAGCGAUAUUUUUUUUUAUACUAUUGUUUUGCUUAUAUUAUCAUUUAUUUUCACUGUAAUGUUGUAUUCAAAUUGUACUGCUGUAUCUUUUUGCUGUUCUGUUAAGCACCUUGUAUUGUAACUUUGCACGAAAGGCGAUAUAUAAAUAAAGUUUGUAUUAUCUCA